GGGGAGCCGCUUCGGGCUCCGGAUGUCCGCUGGGGCCCGACGCUUGGGUCCCGACGCGCGGUUCGCACUUUCCAGGUUUCUUCCCCAGGGAACAGAGCUUGAGCCGGGGGCCACCCCCCCGUCCUACCGGAGUUCUGAGGUGCGGUCAGGCGCGGAGAGCGGACGCCCAGCGCCAGAUUCUGUGGGCUCCGGAGUUCAGGCCCACUGAGCCGCAGCUGAGCACAGGCGGGGCAGGAAAAAGGAUGAGGUAAGUUUGUUCCUGUCAAUUGGGAACCCCCUCAACCACUUCCAUUCCCCAAAUACCUGCGCUGCUACCGAUGCCUCUUGGAGACCAAGGAGUUAGGGUGCCUUCUGGGAUCUGACAUCUGCCUCACCCCAGCUGGCAGCAGCUGCAUCACUCUCCACAAAAAGAACAGCAGCGGUUCUGACGUCAUGGUGAGUGACUGCCGAAGUAAGGAGCAGAUGAGUGAUUGUUCAAAUACCCGAACUUCUCCGGUGUCUGGCUUCUGGAUAUUCUCUCAAUACUGCUUCCUGGAUUUCUGCAAUGACCCUCAAAACAGAGGGCUCUAUACUCCUUAGUGUGACUGCAGCAAACUUUGGUGUAAAAUUCCACCAGUUUCCAGCCACCUUCCUGACUUCUAUCUGGGCUUGGCCAGGACUUCUAGUCCCUCACACCAGCCCUCCUUGCCUCCCUCCAGCCACUGGACCCCAGCCUUGGCUCUUCCUCUUGGUUGACGCCCUUCAGCACACUUACUGCUACUCUGUACCCCCAGCCCUACUGCCCACCAGGUUUCCUCUCUUGUCCCCUAGUCCCUGGAUGUUUCUCCCAAAUAAAUUUGUGUGUAAACUGUU
rnacentral:sRNA from 1 species